GGGCCAGGGAAGUCCUGCCUUCGACCUUCAACGUGGCUGGUCUCCUUUCAGGUUCCUGGAAGGAGAUGGAGGGAGGUGAAACCUGAGAAAGGAAUACAGGGAGAGAGGUCGGCUCAACCCCGGGGACUCUUUCUUCCGGCCUUCUUCUGAGGCUUCUCAUCUUCCUCACAUUGGUACAAGAAAUCUUCAAGGGACUGAUAACAGCCCCAGUUAGGCUGAUUACCAGUAAACACACAAAGCCUCAUCCGAAAUCAGCAGCUGCUCACACUGGAGAUGAAGCCAUGAGCCCCUGUGAGCAUCACGUCAUCCCCAAGUGUACAGGAUGCAGACAAGAGCCAGUGUGUGGUCUGACGUCAACAACAAAAAAAAAAAAACCAUGGUUCUUCCCUGAUUCAAAGUCUUCAGCAGAAGGGUUAUAGAA
ensembl:lincRNA Gm13832 predicted gene 13832